CGCAUCGGCUGGUGAGUACCGGCCUUAAGAGUUUCCUAUUAUUGAUAAUUUUAUUAAAGUGGGCACAUUGCUGCACUGACUUGGCUUGAGGGACAUCCUCUACCGCGUGGUGGCUCCUACUUAUGGCUUCCUCCCUGGUGACUGCUGCUCUCCAGUGGUUGCUGCAGCGCUGGGGUUCUGUUCUGCUGAAUGUUCCUACUCGCUGGUCGCUUCUCUGCUGCUGGGGUCUUCCGUCUGCCCCAUUUUGAAUGCUGUAGCUUGUGUCUGUGAGGCCCUGGUGACUGCUGCUUAGUUUGCUGUUCCACUUCCACGCUCCUGUGAUGAUGGACACCCUGAUCUCCUUGAUGUCUACUGGUGUUAAGCCAUCAUCAUUCCCUUACCUGCUGUUUCUCAGGUCACACAGUCUCCUGUUCAGGGCUACUUUGUGAAGCCAGGCUCCUGAUACUUGCCUGCUGCAGCCUAGUUGUCUUUUUCUUGAACUGUUACUUUCACUUUGAUCUGGUAACCCCAGUCACCAGUUCAGUGCUAUUUUGUGGGGCCAGGCUCCUGAUACUUACCUGCUGCAGCCUGGUUGUCUUUUUCUUGAACUGUUUCUUUCACUUUGAUCUGGUAACCCCAGUCACCAGUUCAGUGCUACUCCGUGGAGUCAGGCUCCUGAUACUUACAUGCUGCAGCCUGUUUGUCUUUUGCGUGAACUGUUCCCUUCACUUUCUCGUCUGUUUCGCUGGCUCUCUAUCACUUCUAUUGAUUUGUUCACCCCAGUCUCUUGUUCAGGGCUACUCUGUUGAGUCAGGCUGCUGAUACUUACCUGCUGCAGUCUGGUUGUCCUUUGCAUGAACUGUUCCCUUCACUUUCUCAUCUGUCUCGCUGGCUCUCUAUCACAUCUGUUGAUUUCAGCACCCUAGUCUUCUGUUCAGAGCUACUCUGUGGAACUCACUUGUUUUCCUAUAUUGGCUGUACAUACUGACCAUGCUAUGGAACAGCUUUUUCUAGCAGUUUUUCACUGAGGAAACAGACUGAUAGCUCUGAUAGCUGAGUUAUCUGUGGCUUUCAUUUCAUGUCAAACUAUGCAGGAGAUUUAGGAUGGGGCUAGUGGGCCCGAGUAUUUUUCUUCUAUCCUAUAGGAAUGUGGUGUCUCUGUCCCUGACCAGUUGAUCUCCUUGGACUGGACAACAUUACGGCCCAGUCUUCUGGGAUGUUUUAGGUCACCUUUGCUGCAAUAGCUUUCACCUGGUUGAGCUUAUUGUUCCGAUUUAUAUUUUUAUAUUUUGUUUUGCUUUGAACGCAAUUGCAGUAUCACUAUUUGUUUGGUUCUGUCAAUUAAGCCCUUGUAUUUUACUUAAAAAAUAUCUUUCUAAUAUACAGAUGGGUCCAUGUUUAUCUUGACCUUUAAUAGGAUUAACUGAGACUGGGCAGUCGGACUUAUUCCCCUGCUGUAAUGACUUAAUCCCCUGCUGUAUUGUUCUCUGUAUUGUAUUGCAGCUGAGAACAAUAGAUGAAGGGUUUAUGUUAAUAAACCAUGUUGUGCCUAGGCGCAGCAAACUAGCCAAAAUAAUCGUGAACCCAUCUGUAUAUAGUUUUUCCACAGUAUAUUUUUGAUAUUUAUAUUUUUUAUAUUUAUAUAUUGUAUAUAUUUUAUAUUGAUAGCUCAUAUGUUUUUAGAUAUUAUUUUAUAUUUAUGUUUUUUCCCCACUAUAAAAUACGUGCACUUGCGAGGGGGCCUGGCUGCUAUUUGCUGUAAUCUGUUCUCUAUGUUUUGGUGACUAUGGUCAGUGUAUAUCUUGUUUGUUACUCUUUGUUAAUGAAUAUAUUUGUUUAUUAUACGCCAGUUCUCUAUAGCUAGGCUCUCAUUUGAGCGGCAAAGUAUGUUUGGUGCUGGGGUAUAGAUGCACAGCACUAUCCAUCACUGUAGAGUUGGGUUUCACAUUGUUCCUGCUAUUCUCCUGACUUCGUGUUGUGCGGGACUGAAUGGCGCCUUCAGGCAGCUGCUUUACUGCUGUUAUAUUGUAUUGUUAAAUUGGUGUCGGAUAGGGUAUUUGUGACUACGCCGUUUAUCACAUUUAUUAUACUUGAAGAUUUUACUUCCAAUAAUCCAAUUGUUUUAGUGUGAAAUCUCCCUGCCAACAGGAGAUAUUUAUGCAACACUGUGUGUAAUUUGUGUGUGUGUGUUAGCGAAUUUAGACUGUAAGCUCCUAUGGGGCAGGGACUGAUAUGGAUGACUUGUGUUCUCUAUACAGCACUGCGUUUUUGUGGUACUAUAUAAAGAAACCGUAAUAAAUAUUCAUGUCUAUCGGGAACAUAUUAUCGCGCCUCUAUCUUCUUUUUUCAGGUGGACCUUCUCUAUGAUUGAAUUGUGAGAUCAUCAGCGGAGUAAACUACAUUUCUGGGCUUCUGUGAGGUCAUCUUUACAACAAAGCAUAUAUUGAAGAUAGAACGUCAGGAGUAGCUGACCCAAGACAGGUGGACCUUCUCUAUGAUUGAAUUGUGAGAUCAUCAGCGGAGUAAACUACAUUUCUGGGCUUCUGUGAGGUCAUCUUUACAACAAAGCAUAUAUUGAAGAUAGAACGUCAGGAGUAGCUGACCCAAGACAGGUGGACCUUCUCUAUGAUUGAAUUGUGAGAUCAUCAGCGGAGUAAACUACAUUUCUGGGCUUCUGUGAGGUCAUCUUUACAACAAAGCAUAUAUUGAAGAUAGAACGUCAGGAGUAGCUGACCCAAGACAGGUGGACCUUCUCUAUGAUUGAAUUGUGAGAUCAUCAGCGGAGCAAACUACAUUUCUGGGCUUCUGUGAGGUCAUCUUUACAACAAAGCAUAUAUUGAAGAUAGAACGUCAGGAGUAGCUGACCCAAGACAGAUAUCACAAUCUUUAUAUUUCAUGGAGUGUAUAUCAGCAAUGGAGGAGGCUUUCCAUUCCAAGUCUCAUUUUACAGUUGGCAGUGAGAAUGUUGGAAGUGGAUAAAGGAUAGGAAUUUCCCAGGUCUUUCACUGCUCAGGGUGUAGCCUACCACAGUGGCUCUUAAUAUAAAUCAGACUUUUUACUAAACGGACAGUUUCCAAACAGCGCAGAAGCAGGACUCAGAAAUGUUGGCGCACUACCUGGACAUAAAUGAGCCAACAUUAUCACAUUAUCUCUAAAAUCUUGUAACUUUUUGGAGUGUGCACAUCAAACCCUCAAUUCACCAAGGACUCUCCAUUUGUUUGUAUGUAAGAAGAAACUAUUGGAAUAUUUAUGUUUUAUUUCAGUCUACACUGUAAAGCAAGUGACAGAGUGCAGUUUCAGUGAAUUAAAAAUAUAAAAAAAGA